rnacentral:ncRNA from 2 species
UUCCCGAACUCUGGAGAGCGGCAGCGGUUUUCUUCCGAAGAUCAGUUGCCCACCGAAGGGGCGCGCGAUGAAUCGUGAUCGAUCACGGUUCGCGCAAUCUCUCAGGUACCGAGGACAGAGGGGUCACG